rnacentral:rRNA from 1 species
CUAGCCGUAAACGAUGGGUACUAGGUGUAGAGGGUAUCGACCCCUUCUGUGCCGGAGUUAACGCAAUAAGUACCCCGCCUGGGGANACGCGAAGAACCUUACCAGGACUUGACAUUGAUUGAAAAGCUAAGAGAUUAGCUCCUGAUCUUCGGAUCACAAGAAAACAGGUGG